UACGGGGGGAGCAAGCGUUGUUCGGAUUUACUGGGCGUAAAGGGCGCGUAGGCGGCGUGACAAGUCACUUGUGAAAUCUCCGGGCUUAACCCGGAGCGGCCAAGUGAUACUGUCGUGCUAGAGUGCGGAAGGGGCUACUGGAAUUCUCGGUGUAGCGGUGAAAUGCGUAGAUAUCGAGAGGAACACCUGCGGCGAAGGCGGGUAGCUGGGCCGACACUGACGCUGAUGCGCGAAAGCCAGGGAGCGAAGCGGG
rnacentral:rRNA from 1 species